CGGGGAACAGGCAGAGCAUGG
rnacentral:miRNA from 2 species